GACGAACGCUGGCGGCGUGCCUAAUACAUGCAAGUAGAACGCUGAAGGAGGAGCUUGCUUCUCUGGAUGAGUUGCGAACGGGUGAGUAACGCGUAGGUAACCUGCCUGGUAGCGGGGGAUAACUAUUGGAAACGAUAGCUAAUACCGCAUAAGAGUAGAUGUUGCAUGACAUUUGCUUAAAAGGUGCAAUUGCAUCACUACCAGAUGGACCUGCGUUGUAUUAGCUAGUUGGUGGGGUAACGGCUCACCAAGGCGACGAUACAUAGCCGACCUGAGAGGGUGAUCGGCCACACUGGGACUGGGACACGGCCCAGACUCCUACGGGAGGCAGCAGUAGGGAAUCUUCGGCAAUAGACGGAAGUCUGACCGAGCAACGCCGCGUGAGUGAAGAAGGUUUUCGGAUCGUAAAGCUCUGUUGUAAGAGAAGAACGAGUGUGAGAGUGGAAAGUUCACACUGUGACGGUAUCUUACCAGAAAGGGACGGCUAACUACGUG
rnacentral:rRNA from 1 species